GCUGAGGAAGCCUAGAGCUCUCAGAAGCAGUCCUUUGAGCUGGUGUAGGGGUAAGGGGCACAACAGGGAGGUUGGUGGUGAGGAAGUUCCUUACUUUGAUCUUUGGAAAUCCCUUGUUCCUGGUGGCACCUCCAAAGCCGUGAGUAGCCACAGCUCACCACCCGGGACUUUGCUGCAUUCCAAGUGUAGCGUUUGGAGACUAACGAGUUGUGGUUUGGCGGUUUGAGUCUGGAAAAUCGCCAAACGUUUUCAUAUUUUACACCCACGUUUUCACAGCACGCCUGCACUCAGAAUGGUCCAGCGUUUGACAUACCGACGUAGGCUUUCCUACAAUACAGCCUCUAACAAAACUAGGCUGUCCCGAACCCCUGGUAAUAGAAUUGUUUACCUUUAUACCAAGAAGGUUGGGAAAGCACCAAAAUCUGCAUGUGGUGUGUGCCCAGGCAGACUUCGAGGGGUUCGUGCUGUAAGACCUAAAGUUCUUAUGAGAUUGUCCAAAACAAAGAAACAUGUCAGCAGGGCCUAUGGUGGUUCCAUGUGUGCUAAAUGUGUUCGUGACAGGAUCAAGCGUGCUUUCCUUAUCGAGGAGCAGAAAAUCGUUGUGAAAGUGUUGAAGGCACAAGCACAGAGUCAG
rnacentral:lncRNA from 1 species